rnacentral:misc_RNA from 1 species
AACGCACAUUGCGCCCGCCAGCAUUCUGGCGGGCAUGCCUGUCCGAGCGUCAUUUCAACCAUCAAGCCCCGGGCUUGUGUUGGGGACCUGCGUCCGACGCAGGCCCUGAAAACCAGUGGCGGGCUCGCUGUCCACGCCGAGCGUAGUAACUCACCUCGCUGCGGAGUGGCGCGGGCGCCUGCCGUGAAACCCCCGACCCCCCCAAAGGUUGACCUCGGAUCAGGUAGGAAUACCCGCUGAACUUAA